AGCUCAGAUUGAACGCUGGCGGCAGGCCUAACACAUGCAAGUCGAACGGUAACAUUUCUAGCUUGCUAGAAGAUGACGAGUGGCGGACGGGUGAGUAAUGCUUGGGAACUUGCCUUUGCGAGGGGGAUAACAGUUGGAAACGACUGCUAAUACCGCAUAAUGUCUUCGGACCAAACGGGGCUUCGGCUCCGGCGCAAAGAGAGGCCCAAGUGAGAUUAGCUAGUUGGUAAGGUAACGGCUUACCAAGGCGACGAUCUCUAGCUGUUCUGAGAGGAAGAUCAGCCACACUGGGACUGAGACACGGCCCAGACUCCUACGGGAGGCAGCAGUGGGGAAUAUUGCACAAUGGGGGAAACCCUGAUGCAGCCAUGCCGCGUGUGUGAAGAAGGCCUUCGGGUUGUAAAGCACUUUCAGUUGUGAGGAAAAGUUAGUAGUUAAUACCUGCUAGCCGUGACGUUAACAACAGAAGAAGCACCGGCUAACUCCGUGCCAGCAGCCGCGGUAAUACGGAGGGUGCGAGCGUUAAUCGGAAUUACUGGGCGUAAAGCGCACGCAGGCGGUUUGUUAAGCUAGAUGUGAAAGCCCCGGGCUCAACCUGGGAUGGUCAUUUAGAACUGGCAGACUAGAGUCUUGGAGAGGGGAGUGGAAUUCCAGGUGUAGCGGUGAAAUGCGUAGAUAUCUGGAGGAACAUCAGUGGCGAAGGCGACUCCCUGGCCAAAGACUGACGCUCAUGUGCGAAAGUGUGGGUAGCGAACAGGAUUAGAUACCCUGGUAGUCCACACCGUAAACGCUGUCUACUAGCUGUGUGUGCCUUUAAGGCGUGCGUAGCGAAGCUAACGCGCUAAGU
rnacentral:rRNA from 1 species